rnacentral:SRP_RNA from 1 species
GCUGGGCACGAUGGCUCAUGCCUAUAAUCCCAGCAUUUUGGGAGGCUGAGGCAGGAGGAUUACUUGAGCCCAGGAAUUCGAGACCAGCCUGGGCAACAUAGUGAGACCCUGUCUCUA